UAAGGUAGCGGCGAGACGAGCCGUUUAAAUAGGUGUCAAGUGGAAGUGCAGUGAUGUAUGCAGCUGAGGCAUCCUAAC
rnacentral:rRNA from 1 species